rnacentral:rRNA from 1 species
AUUGAACGCUGGCGGCAGGCCUAACACAUGCAAGUCGAGCGAGCGGCGGACGGGGGAGUAAUGUAUGGGGACUGCCCGAUAGAGGGGGGUAACUACUGGAAACGGUAGCUAAUACCGCAUACUCUCGGAUAACGCAUAUGUGAUUAGCUAGUAGGUGGGGUAAUGGCGCACCUAGGCGACGAUCCCUAGCUGGGCUGAGAGGAUGUGCAGCCACACUGGGACUGGGACACGGCCCAGACUCCGACGGAGGCAGCAGUGGGGAAUAUUGCGCAAUGGGGGCAACCCUGAUGCAGCCAUGCCGCGUGUAUGAAGAAGGCCCUAGGGUUGUAAAGUACUUUCAGUCGGGAGUCGUUAACGACAGAAGAAGCACCGGCUAACUCCGUGCCAGCAGCCGCGGUAAUUC